UACGUAGGGUGCAAGCGUUAAUCGGAAUUACUGGGCGUAAAGCGUGCGCAGGCGGUUAUGUAAGACAGAUGUGAAAUGCCCGGGCUUAACCUGGGAACUGCAUUUGUGACUGCAUGGCUAGAGUUUGGCAGAGGGGGGUAGAAUUCCACGUGUAGCAGUGAAAUGCGUAGAUAUGUGGAGGAACACCGGAUGGCGAAGGCAGCCCCCUGGGUCAAGACUGACGCUCAUGCACGAAAGCGUGGGGAGCAAACGAGG
rnacentral:rRNA from 1 species